GACGAACGCUGGCGGCGUGCUUAACACAUGCAAGUCGAACGGAAAGGCCCUGCUUUUGUGGGGUGCUCGAGUGGCGAACGGGUGAGUAACACGUGAGUAACCUGCCCUUGACUUUGGGAUAACUUCAGGAAACUGGGGCUAAUACCGGAUAGGAGCCCCUGCUGCAUGGUGGGGGUUGGAAAGUUUCGGCGGUUGGGGAUGGACUCGCGGCUUAUCAGCUUGUUGGUGGGGUAGUGGCUUACCCAGGCUUUGACGGGUAGCCGGCCUGAGAGGGUGACCGGCCACAUUGGGACUGAGAUACGGCCCAGACUCCUACGGGAGGCAGCAGUGGGGAAUAUUGCACAAUGGGCGGAAGCCUGAUGCAGCAACGCCGCGUGCGGGAUGACGGCCUUCGGGUUGUAAACCGCUUUCGCCUGUGACGAAGCGUGAGUGACGGUAAUGGGUAAAGAAGCACCGGCUAACUACGUG
rnacentral:rRNA from 1 species